AUUUUAUUUUCAGUUUAAGAAGUGUUUCAGUUAUGGUUUUCUUGUGGAAAAUUCGGCAGAUAGAAAAAUACUAUAAAUCCUUAUAUGUACUGUAAGUGCUAAGAUAAGAUGGGGAAUGGUUUUAGAUGUUGAAACUAACUNNNNNNNUAUUCUUCUGCAUGGUAGCUAAUGACUUUGAAUGUGAAUUUUGGUUGGUUUUGGAGAUGGCGAAUGUACUGAAUAUGUUAUUACAUAACUGGUUGAGGACCAUGAAAUUCACAUGCACACCUGGUUGCAGAGCAUGUUUGUGAAAUAAAAAGACAUCUUGAUGUUGGAUCCUUUAUUAUUCUGAGCCUAGGAUGUCAGUUGGUUACAAGCUGAUUGCAACUUUUUGGCUGGUUGAGCUGAGG
rnacentral:misc_RNA from 1 species